GCCAAGUGUCCAGCCCAAAGCCAGAGGAAGCCCUUCAAGGCCCCAGACCUGGGGGAGGCUCCAGAGACUCCAGAGCCCCUGGUUCUGGGAAAAGCUGUGCAGAAUGGGGAACAGAGAUGGGAAGAUCUGAAGAUCAACAGCCAGAUGGAGUGGUUGAGAGCCAGGAGUUUGGGAGAAGACCCUGGUUCAGUCUUCAAUGAACCCCAAUUCUGAAGGAGGAAAGGGAACCCAGGCCCCUCCUGGUCUCAGGGGAAAGAGAACACAUACGUCGUAGUUACAGGAAACACCAAUCUGACAGGAGAGGUAGAAAGCCAAGCCUGGUCCUCUGGUGUCCCUAGUCUGAAUGGGGAAUAGAAGAAGCAUGGACCUCAUCCUUUGGGAGCCCCUGUCUGAGUGGAGGAAGGGAAACCUAUGCCCUAUCGUCAGUAAAACAUCUCCCCUUGGAAUGGCAAGCAAGGCCUCUGUGAAGGAGCCAAAGCUGAACCAGAGUGUGGAGCACUGGCCCAGAGCUGCAGAAACUUAGUGACUGAGGUGGGGUCAAGAGUGAGCCAGGGAUCAGCUGCCAUCUGAGAAGACUUCUGGAGCCAGGGCACUGCUGGGCAUCCAAGCUGGGGACAGUGUGGUGUUUGAGCUGGUGACCUGGUGCUGAGACACAGGGAGUGUGGUUGCUGGUCUGCAGACUAUGAGGACACCUGCCAGGUGCAUGGUGGACAGUUAAGUCCGGGGAGCAUCUGGAGCUGGGCAGUCCCUCAGCUGUGGGGACACCACAUAGGAUUUGGUUGCCCAAAACUAGCUCUGGUAAUAGAACUGUCCUCUAGAGGGUGCCAAUAGACCAAGCCAGUCUGGAUCUGAAUUUUCCAGUCCCUACCACAAACUGCCCACAGGUCACUCUGCAGGGAGAGGGCUUCCUGGCCAGAAGCUGUCCUUAAGGAGCAAAGUCUUCCGCUGCUGCCCCCUAAGGCUGAGGCUCUGCCCCUCACUUCACCCUGCAGACUCAAGCAGGCUCAUUGUAAUGCGUCCUUCCUUCAGGAAGAGAGAGAUGAGAGGUACCCCUGGACAUUGGAGACACCUGCCUUUACUCCUUUCCUGUGUGUGUACUGUCAAGGUCAGGAUGAGCCAUGGAAGCCCUACCAAGUGUGAGGUGCCUUGAUGUGCCAUGGAGAGAAAGUCACAGUCCCAGAGCUGGAUGGCUUACAUGCCACAUACGGAAGCUGAUGAGUAAAACAAGAAGGUACAAUGUAGAUAUGAGAAGUAAUAAGCACAGGAGCCUGUGGGAGUUGAGAAGAGGUGACAUCAGGGAUGCGUUCCUGGUGGAAGGGACAUCUACUCUAACAACUGAAAGCUUCUUCCACAGCUGACCUCAUUAGAAGUUUCUGAGUCCUCUAAUGCUCUGUCAUAACCUUCCCUGAAAAGAGAAAGGAAGGUUACCUCAGUCUAAAAUGAAGGCAUGGCCAAGGUAGUCAAGGGAAAGGAGCUUGAAAGGGAUCAGCCUCCUCAAGUCUGGAUACAGCAAGCCAUCUCCCCGAUUCCUUCUCCCCCUUCUCAGGAAAUUCAGGAUCCGUGGAAGGAAUCUGAGGCAGAAGAGGAUGUGGAAUUAAAUGACCUUAAAAAAAAACAGCCUUCAGCAUCUCUGUCCCACCACCACCUCCUCCUCCCCAAUUCUGCAGGAAAAAUCAUAAGGUGACAUUUAUUGACUA